rnacentral:rRNA from 1 species
UACGUGGGAGGGCGAGCGUUGUCCGGAUUUAUUGGGCGUAAAACGCUUUGUAGGUGGCUACGUCAAGUCGGACGUGAAAUCUCCCGGCUUAACUGGGAGGGGUCGCUCGAUACUGGCGAGCUCGAGGCAGGUAGGGGGAAGCGGAAUUCCCGGUGUAGUGGUGGAAUGCGUAGAUAUCGGGAGGAACACCAGUGGCGAAGGCGGCUUCCUGGACUGUCUGACACUGAGGAGCGAAAGCAUGGGGAGCGAACAGG